AGCUGUAUUUAAGACUCGCGUAUCCAGUGUUUUGUCGCAGAGAGUUUUCGCUCUUAAAUCCUGGGGGUUUCUUAGAAAGCAACUUAGAACUCGAGAUUCACCUUUCGUUUCCCUUUCCCCAAAAGUAGCGUAACCAACAUUUAAGCUUGCUUAAAAACGAAAACCAACCGCCUUGCAUCCAGUGUUCCCGAUUUACUAAAAUAGGUAACCAGGCGUCUCACAGUCGCCGUCCUGUCAAGAGCGCUAAUGAACGUUCUCAUUAACACGCAGGAGUACCGGGAGCCCUGAACCGCCCGCUGCUCGGCGGAUCCCAGCUGCGGUGGCGACGGCGGGAAGGCGCUUUCCGCUGUUCCUCAGCGGGCCGGGCCCUUGACCAGCGCGGCCCGCAGGUCUUCCUUCUCGCCGUCUUGCAGUUGAAGAGCUACAUACGUAGUCAGUUUCGAUUUGUUACAGACGUUAACAAAUUCCUUUACCCAAGGUUAUGCUAUGACCUUUCCGCAGUUUACUUUGAUUUUCUAUGUUUAAGGUUUUGGUUGUUGGUAGUAGCCGAAUUUAACUGGCACUUUAUUUUACUUCUAACCUUGUUUCCUGACGGUGUACAGAAUCAACAAAAUAAAACAUUUAAAGUCUGAUUUUUUACAUUUUUUGUCUGAU
rnacentral:lncRNA from 1 species